UCCCCGGCGUGCGGGCUGGCUCGGGACCGGCCGGCGCGCGUGUGUUCGCGCACCGGGAGGCGGGUGGGAGGGCGAUUGUGCCCAGGGCCGUGCGCGAGUCCCCGCCUGCCUGGAGGCGGGGAGGCGAGGCCGCGUGUGUGGAGGCAGCUCGCGGGCGGCGGAAGCCCCGGUGUUUGUGUUUGGGGUUUAUCAAUGUGGUGAAGCGCCCAUAAGUGCGGCCACGUGUGUAUUGAGGGAAAACUCAUAUGCGUGUUUGCCUGCAUGGGGUUCGUAGUUGCAUUUUUUUUCGGCCUUCCAAUUUAUGUACUGUUGCGUUUGUCAUGCUCAGCUGUCACCGUGAAUUAACAUCCCCCAGAUACAUGUAUGCAUGUGAGAUAAGCCUGCCACAGCCUAGAUAUAAUUGUGCAGAAUGUUCUCUUACACCUACCCAUUUCGAAGCACAUGUGUUUGCGUUUAUUUAAUGAAUAUACAGGGGGAGAGCAAUGCAGUUUGAAAAAGCACAGAAUAAACUGGAAUUCUUCAGCCCGGAGCUGUGUACCCAACGGGCAGACGGCUCAGUCUGUGUAUGUUGUAUAAGUGUCUGGAAUGUACACCUGGUACCGCUCCACUGGCCUCCACAGUUUAAGAAAGUAAAUAGAAGCUUUCAAGGAGGAAUAUGAUGUCUUCCUUGGAGGGACCCUUCAUUAAAAGAAAGAAUCCACCACCAGGUGUCUGCUAUUACGUUUCAACGAAUCAGUCCUAAACCGACUCUGCCACUGACUCUCUUCACGGGGGGGAAAAUUAGUAUUGAAUUUUUGGUAGUUCACUGAGAGAUUUUUGGCAAAAAAUCAUACAUACAAAGCAUACAACCCAUGCUUCCAUUUACCUGCUGUCAUCCCGGUGGAAUGU